rnacentral:tRNA from 1 species
ACCUGGUUGGCUCAGUUGGUUAAGUGUCUGACUUUGGCUCAGGUCACGAUCUUGCGGUUCGUGGGUUCAAGCCCCACGUCAGGUU